rnacentral:rRNA from 1 species
GUGCCAGCCGCCGCGGUAAUACGGAGGGGGUUAGCGUUGUUCGGAAUUACUGGGCGUAAAGCGCGCGUAGGCGGACAUUUAAGUCAGAGGUGAAAUCCCGGGGCUCAACCCCGGAACGGCCUUUGAUACUGGGUGUCUUGAGUUCGAGAGAGGUGAGUGGAAUUCCGAGUGUAGAGGUGAAAUUCGUAGAUAUUCGGAGGAACACCAGUGGCGAAGGCGGCUCACUGGCUCGAUACUGACGCUGAGGUGCGAAAGUGUGGGGAGCAAACAGGAUUAGAAACCCUGGUAGUCC